rnacentral:rRNA from 1 species
GCAGUCGAACGCUUCUUUCUUCCCGAGUGCUUGCACUCAAUUGGAAAGAGGAGUGGCGGACGGGUGAGUAACACGUGGGUAACCUACCCAUCAGAGGGGGAUAACACUUGGAAACAGGUGCUAAUACCGCAUAACAGUUUAUGCCGCAUGGCAUAAGAGUGAAAGGCGCUUUCGGGUGUCGCUGAUGGAUGGACCCGCGGUGCAUUAGCUAGUUGGUGAGGUAACGGCUCACCAAGGCCACGAUGCAUAGCCGACCUGAGAGGGUGAUCGACCAUACUGGGACUGAGACACGGCCCAGACUCAUACGGGAGGCAGCAGUAGGGAAUCUUCGGCAAUGGACGAAAGUCUGACCGAGCAACGCCGCGUGAGUGAAGAAGGUUUUCGGAUCGUAAAACUCUGUUGUUAGAGAAGAACAAGGACGUUAGUAACUGAACGUCCCCUGACGGUAUCUAACCAGAAAGCCACGGCUAACUACGUGCCAGCAGCCGCGGUAAUACGUAGGUGGCAAGCGUUGUCCGGAUUUAUUGGGCGUAAAGCGAGCGCAGGCGGUUUCUUAAGUCUGAUGUGAAAGCCCCCGGCUCAACCGGGGAGGGUCAUUGGAAACUGGAAGACUUGAGUGCAGAAGAGGAGAGUGAAAUUCCAUGUGUAGCGGUGAAAUGCGUAGAUAUAUGGAGGAACACCAGUGGCGAAGGCGGCUCUCUGGUCUGUAACUGACG